GAACGCGGAUGGAAACAUCCGAGUGGCGGACGGGUGAGGAACACGUGGGUUAUCUACCUUGAGGUGAGGAAUACCGGCGAGAAAUCGCCGACAAUACCGCAUACGUUUGGAGACAAACAAAGUCGAGUGAUCGGCGCCACAAGAUGAGCCUGCGGCCGAUUAGCUAGCUGGUGGGGUAAAAGCCUACCAGGGCGACGAUCGGUAGCUGGUCUGAGAGGACGAUCAGCCACACUGGGAUUGAGAACGGCCCAGACUCCUACGGGGGGCAGCAGUGAGGAAUUUUCGUCAAUGGGGGCAACCCUGAACGAGCAACGCCGCGUGCAGGAAGAAGGUUUUCGGAUCGUAAACUGCUUUUCUUGGGGAAGAGAAGGGACGGUACCCAAGGAAGAAGCCCCGGCUAACUACGUGCCAGCAGCCGCGGU
rnacentral:rRNA from 1 species